rnacentral:lncRNA from 1 species
UUAUUAGUAAAAUUGUUGAAACCUCCUUUCAAUAGCAUUUGAAUAAGACUACAACCCUUUUACAUUGUAGUCUGUGUCCCAUAAUUUUAUAUUAGCCACGUCUAUAUGGUGGCCAAAUUAACGGUGGCUAAAUAGCUACAAAUUGAUUGACAAAUAUAGCGGUCACAUUUGAUUUGAUAAUAGAAAAAGACCGAUUAAAAAUUCCAGUUAUGUACAAAUUCUACUUAUGACUAAUUGAGGGAAUGCAUUCUACGGUUUCUACCUAAACAUAUAGAUAAGACAAAUUCCAGAAUAGAGCAAACGGAAAAUGGGAAGAGCUAACAGAGUGAUGGUGUGGUACAAGAUGGAGGUGAUAGCGAAAAAAAAAAAAAAGAGAAAAUUGGGUAUUGAGUAAAUGAAAGCAAUCUCAUCGAAGAUGAGGCGGAGACACAGAUAGGUCAUAGGUGGCUGUGGCCAUGAAUACCGAGUGCUGGAACCGUAGCAAGAAGCCCCGUGGAAUCAAAGACCGCAUUCAGUUCCUGUAGCUCCAGGUAGAAGAAGACAUUUCUUACCGACUUGAGGCUAGUGCUUGUAGCGGCAAACCAAAUAUGUCAGGCUGAAUCCAAGAAGAGGAAUUGUAUGAUUAGAUGAUGUUUCCCCUUAUUUCCCA